AUACGGAGGAUGCGAGCGUUAUCCGGAUUUAUUGGGUUUAAAGGGAGCGUAGGCGGGAGCUUAAGUCAGCGGUUAAAUGGUGCGGCUCAACCGUGCCCUGCCGUUGAAACUGGGUUUCUUGAGAGUGCAAGAGGCGGAUGGAAUUCAUGGUGUAGCGGUGAAAUGCUUAGAUAUCAUGAAGAACUCCGAUUGCGAAGGCAGUCCGCUGGGGCACGUCUGACGCUGAUGCUCGAAGGUGCGGGAAUCAAACAGGAUUAGAUACCCUGGUAGUCCGCACGGUAAACGAUGGACACCCGCGGUUUGGCCUGUAUGGCUGAGCCGCCAAGCGAAAGCGUUAAGUGUCCCACCUGGGGAGUACGCCGGCAACGGUGAAACUCAAAUGAAUUGACGGGG
rnacentral:rRNA from 1 species